rnacentral:rRNA from 1 species
AUAAUCAUUUGCCUUUUAAUUGAAGGCUAGUAUGAAAGGACACACAUGAAUAAGACUGUCUCAGUAAGGCCUAUUUUAAAUUGAUUUUCAGGUGAAGACGCCUGAAUUAUAAUAAAGGACAAGAAGACCCUAUAGAGCUUUAUUAAUAAAAAGCGUAAAACUUCCUUAUUAAUUUGGUUGGGACAACCAAAAAACAUUUAAACCUUUUUCCUUUCUAAUCCUACCCUUAUCCAUAAAUGAACUAGAACUUUAAGCUACCUUAGGGAUAACAGGCU